CAGCAGCCGCGGGAAUACGUAGGUGGCGAGCGUUGUCCGGAAUUAUUGGGCGUAAAGGGAGCGCAGGCGGACAUAUAAGUCCAUCUUAAAAGUGCGGGGCUCAACCCCGUGAGGGGAUGGAAACUGUAUGCCUUGAGUGCAGGAGAGGAAAGCGGAAUUCCCAGUGUAGCGGUGAAAUGCGUAGAUAUUGGGAGGAACACCAGUGGCGAAGGCGGCUUUCUGGUCUGUAACUGACGCUGAGGAGCGAGAGCGUGGGGAGCGAACAGGAUUAGAUACCCCCGUAGUCCCUGUCUCUUAUACA
rnacentral:rRNA from 1 species